AAGGUUUAAAAGGUGAGAAAAAUUCGAAUAAUUGCCGGGAAAAUCCUCAAAACAGCUCUUUUCUAUAGAAUAAAAUUUGACAUUGAGAUUCAAUCAUAGUUAUAGUUAAAUAGUUGAAUUCGAGAUGGCGCGCUGAAGUGCAUUAUUGACAAAACUUUAUAUGCAUAAUUUCUUUAAAUUAAAAUUGCUAAUCUUAUUGAUAGAAUUGACUCUUACUACGAGUAUGUCUAGAACAAGAGAGUAAAACGAAUUACAUUUUUAUUAAACACUGCCGGAACGAAGUCGCGGGCAACAUCUAGUUAGUAAUAAAAUAUUUGCGUAUUUUAAUACUAUGUGUAUGGUGGGUUGCUGCCGUGAACAAGGAUAAUUAAAGACAUAAAUAUUGCCAGCGGGUAAAAAAACAGGGAAAGUGAGCUUUUCACGCAAAUACGCAAUCGAUAUCGCGAGGCGCAGUCGAUGGAAACAAAGCGGCGGCGGUGACGCUGUUGCUUCCCAGUUUUCCACAUUUUCCGAGGUGCUAUUGGUCAAUACCAACGUGAAACACGAAGCAUACAGAGUGUCAGACACGCAGCGCGUUGUUCUCACGACCAACUCGCUGUGGUUGUUUAUUUUCCAGGACAAACGAGAAAUAGAGAACUAGGUUUUAUGUUGGCGAGAAUAAUUUAUGUUACUCUCCACCAACAUGCGAAUGGACUUAAUUAGGUUUUUCCCUUUUUCUCCACGUCGUGCGUGCUAUCCACGGCGAAUAUUUAUAUAAAUAUGCAGGAAACGUGUGAUUUGUGAAUUUCUGACCAAUCAAACCCUGGUACAACCUCAUUGGAUGCUGUGAAAACAUGCGCGUUGCGAAAUUUCAUCCCCCUGAGAGAAUCACCAUAGCAACGGGAUGCUGGGGGUGGAACCAAUCGCAAAACACGCCAGGAAAAUUGAUUUUCUCUAAGCGCAUUACACAAUAAGAUGGUAAAUACAAUAUAAUCGGAUUAUAUUCUACCAAAGAAGCCCCAACUGGAGAAUUUCAACUAAUUCAAUACACGUCAACAAAUCAGAGUAAAUAUAUAAAGAUAACCGAUAAUAUUGCUUACUCUGGGUAUAAAUAUAACUCGUUAUCAUGUUUACUGCACCAGCAUGUCAAGAUGUCUUGACCUCAGUGUUUUUUUAUCUUUACUGCUCACAUACCAACAAAUACCAAGUAAAAACUAUGUAGGUCUU